GGUUAAGCGACUAAGCGUACACGGUGGAUGCCCUGGCAGUCAGAGGCGAUGAAGGGCGUGCUAAUCUGCGAUAAGCGCCGGUAAGGUGAUAUGAACCGUUAUAACCGGCGAUACCCGAAUGGGGAAACCCAGUGUGAUUCGUCACACUAUCAUUAACUGAAUCCAUAGGUUAAUGAGGCGAACCGGGGGAACUGAAACAUCUAAGUACCCCGAGGAAAAGAAAUCAACCGAGAUUCCCCCAGUAGCGGCGAGCGAACGGGGAGGAGCCCAGAGCCUGAAUCAGCAUGUGUGUUAGUGGAAGCGUCUGGAAAGGCGCGCGAUACAGGGUGACAGCCCCGUACACAAAAGCGCAUGUGCUGUGAGCUCGAUGAGUAGGGCGGGACACGUGGUAUCCUGUCUGAAUAUGGGGGGACCAUCCUCCAAGGCUAAAUACUCCUGACUGACCGAUAGUGAACCAGUACCGUGAGGGAAAGGCGAAAAGAACCCCGGCGAGGGGAGUGAAAAAGAACCUGAAACCGUGUACGUACAAGCAGUGGGAGCACAGGUUUACCUGUGUGACUGCGUACCUUUUGUAUAAUGGGUCAGCGACUUAUAUUCUGUAGCAAGGUUAACCGAAUAGGGGAGCCGGAGGGAAACCGAGUCUUAAUUGGGCGUUAAGUUGCAGGGUAUAGACCCGAAACCCGGUGAUCUAGCCAUGGGCAGGUUGAAGGUUGGGUAACACUAACUGGAGGACCGAACCGACUAAUGUUGAAAAAUUAGCGGAUGACCUGUGGCUGGGGGUGAAAGGCCAAUCAAACCGGGAGAUAGCUGGUUCUCCCCGAAAGCUAUUUAGGUAGCGCCUCGUGAAUUCAUCUCCGGGGGUAGAGCACUGUUUCGGCUAGGGGGCCAUCCCGGCUUACCAACCCGAUGCAAACUGCGAAUACCGGAGAAUGUUAUCACGGGAGACACACGGCGGGUGCUAACGUCCGUCGUGAAGAGGGAAACAACCCAGACCGCCAGCUAAGGUCCCAAAGUCAUGGUUAAGUGGGAAACGAUGUGGGAAGGCCCAGACAGCCAGGAUGUUGGCUUAGAAGCAGCCAUCAUUUAAAGAAAGCGUAAUAGCUCACUGGUCGAGUCGGCCUGCGCGGAAGAUGUAACGGGGCUAAACCAUGCACCGAAGCUGCGGCAGCGACGCUUAUGCGUUGUUGGGUAGGGGAGCGUUCUGUAAGCCUGUGAAGGUGGCCUGUGAGGGUUGCUGGAGGUAUCAGAAGUGCGAAUGCUGACAUAAGUAACGAUAAAGCGGGUGAAAAGCCCGCUCGCCGGAAGACCAAGGGUUCCUGUCCAACGUUAAUCGGGGCAGGGUGAGUCGACCCCUAAGGCGAGGCCGAAAGGCGUAGUCGAUGGGAAACGGGUUAAUAUUCCCGUACUUGGUGUUACUGCGAAGGGGGGACGGAGAAGGCU
rnacentral:rRNA from 1 species